GGGGGUGUACUGGUUUCGACGGGGGAAGCGAUGGCAAAAGAAGCGAGUCGGGAUUGCACUUGCCCGUAAAACGGUGCGCAACAUUUAAACGCAAACAAAAAUAAUUACGCUUUCGCUGCUUAAUUGCAGUUGAACCUCUUACCUUCUGUGCUCGGGGUGAGGGA
rnacentral:tmRNA from 1 species